UGGGCGUAAGGGCUCGCAGGCGGUUUCUUAAGUCUGAUGUGAAAGCCCCCGGCUCAACCGGGGAGGGUCAUUGGAAACUGGGGAACUUGAGUGCAGAAGAGGAGAGUGGAAUUCCACGUGUAGCGGUGAAAUGCGUAGAGAUGUGGAGGAACACCAGUGGCGAAGGCGACUCUCUGGUCUGUAACUGACGCUGAGGAGCGAAAGCGUGGGGAGCGAACAGGAUUAGAUACCCUGGUAGUCCACGCCGUAAACGAUGAGUGCUAAGUGUUAGGGGGUUUCCGCCCCUUAGUGCUGCAGCUAACGCAUUAAGCACUCCGCCUGGGGAGUACGGUCGCAAGACUGAAACUCAAAGGAAUUGACGGGGGCCCGCACAAGCGGUGGAGCAUGUGGUUUAAUUCGAAGCAACGCGAAGAACCUUACCAGGUCUUGACAUCCUCUGACAAUCCUAGAGAUAGGACGUCCCCUUCGGGGGCAGAGUGACAGGUGGUGCAUGGUUGUCGUCAGCUCGUGUCGUGAGAUGUUGGGUUAAGUCCCGCAACGAGCGCAACCCUUGAUCUUAGUUGCCAGCAUUCAGUUGGGCACUCUAAGGUGACUGCCGGUGACAAACCGG
rnacentral:rRNA from 1 species